GCCUGGGUGGCUUAGUCGGUUGAGCGUCUGACUUCGGCUCAGGUCAUGAUCUCACAGUUCGUGAGUUCGAGCCCCGUGUCGGGCU
rnacentral:tRNA from 1 species